UGGAAACGAUGACUAAUACCGCAUGUGGUCCUCGGAAGGCAUCUUCUGAGGAAGAAAGGAUUUAUUCGGUACAGGAUGGGCCCGCAUCUGAUUAGCUAGUUGGUGAGAUAACAGCCCACCAAGGCGACGAUCAGUAGCCGACCUGAGAGGGUGAUCGGCCACAUUGGGACUGAGACACGGCCCAAACUCCUACGGGAGGCAGCAGUGGGGAAUAUUGCACAAUGGGCGAAAGCCUGAUGCAGCAACGCCGCGUGAAGGAUGAAGGGUUUCGGCUCGUAAACUUCUAUCAAUAGGGAAGAAAAUGACGGUACCUAAAUAAGAAGCCCCGGCUAACUACGUGCCAGCAGCCGCGGUAAUACGUAGGGGGCAAGCGUUAUCCGGAAUUACUGGGUGUAAAGGGAGCGUAGGCGGCAUGGUAAGCCAGAUGUGAAAGCCUUGGGCUUAACCCGAGGAUUGCAUUUGGAACUAUCAAGCUAGAGUACAGGAGAGGAAAGCGGAAUUCCUAGUGUAGCGGUGAAAUGCGUAGAUAUUAGGAAGAACACCAGUGGCGAAGGCGGCUUUCUGGACUGAAACUGACGCUGAGGCUCGAAAGCGUGGGGAGCAAACAGGAUUAGAUACCCUGGUAGUCCACGCCGUAAACGAUGAGUGCUAGGUGUCGGGGAGGAAUCCUCGGUGCCGCAGCUAACGCAAUAAGCACUCCACCUGGGGAGUACGACCGCAAGGUUGAAACUCAAAGGAAUUGACGGGGGCCCGCACAAGCGGUGGAGCAUGUGGUUUAAUUCGAAGCAACGCGAAGAACCUUACCAAGGCUUGACAUCCCGAUGACCGUCCUAGAGAUAGGACUUCUCUUCGGAGCAUCGGUGACAGGUGGUGCAUGGUUGUCGUCAGCUCGUGUCGUGAGAUGUUGGGUUAAGUCCCGCAACGAGCGCAACCCUUAUCUUCAGUAGCCAUCAUUCAGUUGGGCACUCUGGAGAGACUGCCGUGGAUAACACGGAGGAAGGUGGGGAUGACGUCAAAUCAUCAUGCCCCUUAUGUCUUGGGCUACACACGUGCUACAAUGGCUGGCAACAAAGUGACGCAAGACGGCGACGUUAAGCAAAUCACAAAAACCCAGUCCCAGUUCGGAUUGUAGUCUGCAACUCGACUACAUGAAGCUGGAA
rnacentral:rRNA from 1 species